GUUUUGAGUGAUCAUAUUAAUCUAAUUUUUGUCUUUAUUAUAUGAAUUAUAUAAAUUAUGUAAUGGUCAUCAAAAUAAGAUGAAUGCAUGCUACAUUUGAUAAAAUCAGUUGUAGAUUUCAUUCUUGUAAAUAUCAUUUUAUCAUCUGGUUAUCAUUAACUCCAUGAUGAAAUCAGUGAGUAACAUCAAAUAUUUUAAUUUUGGAUGUAACAUGUCUUCUGAUAGGCUGACGUUGUUUUGUUUAUCAGCUCAUAGACAUAAUUUUGUCAUGUGACUGUGA
rnacentral:lncRNA from 1 species